rnacentral:rRNA from 1 species
CCUACGGGAGGCAGCAGUGAGGAAUAUUGGUCAAUGGACGCAAGUCUGAACCAGCCAUGCCGCGUGCAGGAAGACGGCUCUAUGAGUUGUAAACUGCUUUUGUACGAGGGUAAAUCCCGAUACGUGUAUCGUGUUGAAUGUAUCGUACGAAUAAGGAUCGGCUAACUCCGUGCCAGCAGCCGCGGUAAUACGGAGGAUUCGAGCGUUAUCCGGAUUCAUUGGGUUUAAAGGGUGCGUAGGUUGUUUUUUAAGUUAGCGGUGAAAGACCGAUGCUCAACAUCGGGGCUGCCGCUGAUACUGUAGGACUGGAGAACGGAUGCAGCAGGCGGAAUGUGUAGUGUAGCGGUGAAAUGCAUAGAUAUUACGCAGAACACCGAUUGCGAAGGCAGCUUGCUAGGCCGGGUCUGACGCUGAUGCACGAAAGCGUGGGGAUCGAACAGGAUUAGAUACCCCAGUAGUC